rnacentral:lncRNA from 1 species
UUUUGUUUCUAGCUUCAUUGAAAAAUGUGAACAUUGGCUGGGCACGGUGGCUCACACCUGUAAUCCCAGCACUUUGGGAGGCCGAGGUGGCUGGAUCAUUUGAGGUCAGGAGUUUGAGACCAGCCUGGCCAACAUGGUAAAACCCUGUUUCCACUAAAAAUAACAAAAACAAUUUAGCUGGGCAUGGUGGUACAUGCCUGUAUCCCAGCUACUUGGGAGGCUGAGGCAGGAGAAUUGCUUGAACCUGGAAGGUGGAGGUUGAAGUGAGCUGAGAUCGCACCACUGUACUCCAGCCUGGGCAGUGGAGUGAGACUUCUUCUCAAAAAAAGAAAGAAAAAAAAAAGAAAUGUGAACAUUAAUAAACAACUUAAGAAGUCACUGUAUCUGCAUACUACUGGAUUAGAUUUAACAGACGCAAUCUUGGCUGAAUAAUGAAAGGAGUUUGGCAUGAGUUCCAGUGUCAAAGCAGAAGUAAAAGCAAAACCAGUGAUGGGCAUAGGCUUGAAAUAUAAUAUAUUAAUACACUCACCAGGUAGUGCUGCAUUAAUAAAUAAACUCAGAAAUCUUAGGGAGUGAAGGCAACAAAGGCUUAUUUCUUGCUUGCAUAAAGUCCUAUAUGGGUUAGGCGAUUCUCUGGGCAGCACUCCCUCUGUCUUGUUAUGCUGCCAUCUCAACAGGUGGCCUCCAGGGUUGCCAAGGCAAAGGACUAGAGGUCACUUCCUUAUGCUGUGGCCCAGGAGAAACUCAUAUGACUUCUGCAUACAUUUCACUGGCUAUGACUAGUCACAUAGUCAUACCUAACUGCAAGAGACCUGGGGAGUGGAGACUUCCUGAGUGACAGGAGGAGAGAAGGGUAUAGGUUUCAUGGCAUGAUAUGGCUCAAUCCACAGACAAAGGCUGCUGAGCCCAGAACAGCUUAUUGGACGAGCCCCUAUGAGAAGCAGAAAUGUAUAGAAGCAAACUGAACCCAAGGAAAGAUUGGUGAUACUUUGGGAGGGAUGACAGAGGAAGGGGAAACACACUGUCCAUCCCUGUCCCAGCAAGGAGCCAGCUCCCAUUCGGCAGUCCCUCUGAACAUCUAGGUAGCUUCCCCCUUCUUUCUGUCCAGUUGUGAGCAGCCACCAACUAUGAUGCCCCUCUUCCAGCAGGCUUUGCUUUCACAUCACAAAGCAUCAUCCUGAGAAACAAUUACAGUUCUUUUUAGAGUUCUGGUUCCUUCAUAGGUACCUAUUGUCCUAAUAAAUGGAAUUCCUU